UUGAAAAGUUCACUUUCAAAGAAAGAAGCCUUCGCUGACCAGUUGCCAGUUUUUGUUGCAAUUGUUUCUUGUGCAGAAAGAAAUGAUAUCAAGUCAUUACCAGAAAUCAGCAAGUCCUGUAAUCCAAAAUGUGAAGGAUCAUUUCUCCUGGAUAUUAAUACCUCAGAAUCAGAAUUGGGUUUAAUAUCACUGGCUUCUGCCAUGAAAUGUUUUGUGACAGCAGUACAUUGCAAUCAAUAAUAAUAAACUAUAAAUUGUAAUAGGAGAUGUAUUUAAAUUAAAUAAGUUGUUCAAAAAGAGAGCAAAAAUAGUGAGAUAGCAUACAUGGGUUCAUUGUCCACUCAGAAAUCUGAUGGUGGUUGGGAAGAAGCUGCUCCUGAAAUGUUGAGAAUGUGCCUCCAGGCUUCUCUGCCUCCUCCUUGAUGGUAGCAAUGAGAAGAGGGUAUGUCCUAACAAUAGGGGUCCUUAGUGAUGGAAGUCACCUUUCUGAGGCAUCACCUUUUGCAGGUGUCCUCAAUGUUGGAGAUUCUAGUGCUCAUGAUGCAGUUGCCUGAGCUUACAACUUUCUGCAGCUUUUUCCAAUCUUGUCCAGUGGCCUCUCCAUACCAGUUAGAAUACUCUCCACAGUAGAAAUUUACGUGGGUCUCUGGUGAUAUACCAAGUCUCCUCAAACUCCAAAUGAAAUAUUGCGGCUGUUGUGCCUUCUUUGUAAUUGCAUCAAUAUAUAGGGCCCAGGAUAGAUCUUCAGAUGAUGACACACAGAACUGCUCACUUGUUCUACUGCUCAUCCCUCGAUGAGGAAUGGUGUGUGUUCCCUUGACUUCACGUUCCUGAAACCCGUAAUCAAUUCCUUGGUCUUAGUCAAAAAGUCAUAGAGAAGUACAAUACAGAAACAUACCCUUUGGCCCAUGUAAUCCAUGACAAAAACAUUCAAACUGCCUACUCCCAUCAAUCUGUACCAGGACCAAGGCCCUGCAUACCACUGCUAUUCAUGAACAUUUCCAGACUUCUCUUAAAUGUUGAAAUUGAGCUCACAUGGACCACUUGUGCUGGCAGCUCAUUCCACACUCUCACCACCCUCUAGAGUGAAGAAGUUUCCCCUCAUGUUCCCCUUAAACUUUUCAUCUUUAACCAUGAACCCAUGUCCCACCCAACCUCAGUGCAAUAAUCCUGCUUGCAUUUACCCUACCUAUACCCUCAUAAUUUUGUAUACUGUAUCUCUUUUAAAUCUCCUCUUAAUCUUCUACAUUCUAAAGAAUACUGUCCUAACCCAUUCAAUCUUUCCUUAUAACUCUGGUCCUCCAGAAUCAGUAACAUGUUUGUAAACUUUCUCUGCGUUCUUUCAACCUUAUUUACAUCUUUCCUGCAGGCAGGUGACAAAAACUGUACACAAUACUCCAAAUUAGGCCUCACCAACAUCUUGUACAACUUUAACAAAUCGUCCCAUCUCCUGUACUCAGUGCAUUGAUUUAUGAAGGCCAAUGUGCUAAAAGCUUUCUUUAUGACCCUAUCUACCUGUGAAGCCACUUUCAAUGAAUUAUGGAUCUGUAUUCUCAGAUCACUUUGUUCUACCACAAUCCUCAGUGUCCUACCAUGCAAUCUGUAAGAUCUACCCUGGCAGGUCCUACCAAAAUGCAAAACCUCACACUUGCCUGCAUUAAAUUCCAUCUGCCAUUUUUCAGUCCAUUUUUCCACCUAAUGCAAAUCCCUCCUCAAGCCAAGAUAGCCUUCCUUACUGUCCACUACACCCCCAAUCUUGGUGACAUCUGCAAAUUUGCUGAUUCAGUUAACCACAUUAUCAUCCAGUUCAUUGAUAUAGAUGACAAACAACAAAGGACCCAGCACCAGUCGCUGUGGUACACCAUUAGUCACUGGUCUGCAGUCAAAGGCAACCCUCUACUACCACUCUUUGCUUCUAUCACAAAGCCAAUGGCUAAUCCAAUUUACUGCCUCACCCCAAAUGUCGAGUGACUGAACCUUCUUCACCAGUCUCAUAUCUGAGACUUUGUCCAAUGCUUUAUUAAAGUUCAUGUAGACAAUAUCCACUGCCCUGCCUUUAUCCAUUUUCCUGGUAGCUUCCUCAAAAAAGCUGCCUAAGAUUGGUUUGACAUACCUACCAAGCACAAAGCCAUGCUGAUUAUCCUUAAAUAGUCCAUGUCCAUCCAAAUACUUAUAUAUCUGGUCCCUUAGAAAACCUUCCAAUAACUUUCCCAAAAUUGACAACAGACCUACCGGUCUAUAAUUCAGUGUUUUAUGCUGAGAUCCUUUUUCAAACACUAGAACAACAAUGGCUGUCCUCCAAUCCUCUGGUACCUCCCCUGUCGCAAAAGAUGACUUGUAUAUCUCUGCUAGGGCCACAGUCUUACUGACAUUGAGUGCAAUGUUGUUGCGACAACGUUCAACCAAGUGAUCUAUCUCGCUCCUGUAUGCCUAUUCAUCAACUUCUAAAGUUCUGGCAAUGGUAUUUGUGACAUUGGCAAAUUUAUGUGUACUGUAGAUAGUGUUUGAGCAUUGCCUAGUCACACAGUCGUGGGUGGAGAGAGAGUAGAGCAGUGAGUCAAGCACGUGUCCUCCCAGUGCACCAGUGCUGAUUGUCCAUGAGGAGAUGGUAGGUCCUCUCUGGAGUCCUCCUAUUCUCUUCACUCUUUUGUCCCAUUCUUACUCUGGGCUAUUCCCUCAUCCAAUCUCCUGUUCUCUGUUGACUAUUUUAGUGUCACUUCUUCCUUAUACUCUACACUGGAAAAUCACAUAAGCUUCUUUUCAAAUUUUCAUCCCUCUCACACAUUUCUAUGGUUCACUUCCUACUUUUGGCUUCUCUACCUCCAUUGCUGGAGUUGUCCAUCAACCAACAUACACUUUCCAUCAAGCAACCUUGAUGUAUAUCCUUCCUUGGAUUUCAGUCCCUUAUUUCCAUCUCCAAGUUUUUGCUAUCAGCAGCUCCCUUAGGUCUAUCUUUCUUUUCCUCUAUCUCCUUUUGACCACCACAUACUGUUGCACCUCCCGUUUUGGUGUUCAGUCUCACAUAAAACCUCUUCCAUCUCUAAAUGUUCCUAGUUCUGAUAAAAAGUCGUCUGUUUCUCUUUCUACGGACUCUGUCUUUAUGCAUUUGUCCGACUGCUAUUUCACUGCCUAGUUAAUUGCAGCUGGAAAUCACAUUCUAGGUAUUAGCACUAGGGAGUUAUCCAACUUAAAUCACUGUAAAACUGCAGAUACCUCCUCUCUUGUAAUAGGGCUGUUCUCUAAGGGGACCUUUUCUCUCCCUAGCCACCCUUUUUACUCUUAAGCUGAAGAACUUUUUAGGAUUUUCCUUAACCUUACUUUUCAGCUCCAGCUCAUACCAUCGCUUUGCCCUCCUGAUUUCCCUCCAGUAUUCUUGAUCUUUUCAUAGUCAUCAAGAAAUUCACGUGAAUUUAUACUUCCUUCUUUUUCUUGACCAGAGCCUCAACAUCUCUUAAAGUAGUUCUGAUGAGUGGACCUUGACACGAGACGUUAACUUUGCUUUUCUCUAUAUGAAACUUCAGCCCUUCCAGUAUUUUCAGUUUGUUUGUGAUGUUCAUUUUUUUUAUCCUUCCAUAUACUUAAGUUGAUUUUUAGCUUUAAACUAGUAGAUACCCCAUCCAGGCUGAAUAAUACCUGCUCUUUCAGUUUAUUUCUAGUGUGUAACAGUGAAUAUUAACCCAAGUCUCAACUCAGAUGCUUGCCUCUCACCAAGCCAGUUGUAUAUGGCUGUCUCUGCAUUAUUCCACCCCAUAUAACCGGGGAGAGUUCCAGUUCAACAAAAUUCCAAGGUGCAAAGGUUUUAUGAAAAAGUACGUGAAUGGCAUAUGUCAUCAUGUCACCACAUCAUUCAUAUAUGCUUUGCUUAAUGUAAAAAAUUAAACUAAUACACGUUCUCCUGGGCUCUCGUUCUUUUCUUGCAACUUGUUUUAUGUCUUGGAGUUAUGAAACAUCAUAGUGGUGAUAAGGAAGUUUUAAAUGAACCCAAGAUGACUACCGACCAGUUGAAAUACAAGAAACAAUCCAGUUUCAAGAAAAGCACAAUGCACUUACUUUGGAAAAGGCAGAAAAUGGACAAAUUGAUGGGUCCAUAAAGAGUGAACUCCUGGUGAUAAACAUCAUAAAUUUUAAAAAAGAGCUGAAAUAGCCAGCUACAUUGGAAAGACACAUGUGUUUGAUUGCAGAAGAGAUAACUGGAUACUGUAUACUGAGUGAACUGAGUAGCAUUUUGAAGCAGAUGGAAUAGCCACUGAGAAAUGAGUACCAGCUUUGCUGAUUGCAUCAAGUUUAAAGGCAAACAGUUUGCUUGGAAGUUGUUCUGUUCCAGUCAAGCCUGCUAAAAUUGGCUUUUAUGAUAUCGUGAAAAUAAUGAACAUUUAGAACUGACACCAUUGUUGAUUGCAGAAUGCUUUCAGUUUCAUAAACAGAAUCAAAAGGAAGCAGAGUCCAUUUCAACAUAUGUGGUUGCAUUGAAGGGAUUGUCUGAGCAUUGUUAGUUCAAUGAUGGGCUUAAUGAUGCACUGAGAAAACGUUUUAGUUUGUGGAAUCUAACUAAAGCAUAACUUAUACUUAAAAGUGCAGUUGAAAUGGCUAUAUCAACGGAAACAGCAGACAGAGAUGCAAUUGAGUUGCAAUUAGGAAUGAAAAUAAGUAUUAACAAAACUGCAACAUCUCAACCAGGAGUUCCAUCUGGAGUCCAUGGGCCCCUUGGUUAAUGGUAAGGCUCCAUAGCAUAAAAAAGUUUGGCAAUCCUGGUCUAAACAGAAACUGGCCUGACCAAACAAAUUGUGCAACCAUUAUGGCAGGGGAUCAUAUGCACCAAAUCAAUGCAGGAUAAAAGGUGAAACUUGCAGAAAAGGCAACAAAGCAGGACACAUCCACAGAGCAUGUCAGACAGUCAAAAAUAAAUGGAUGCCCAGGGAAGAGAAAAAGAUUAAAUGUCAAACUGUCAAAAAGGGUACUAAUCCACAUUGUUGUUGAUGGAGAGAGUGGCUGAAGAGAGUGGCUCAGAACUGAGUAGCCUCGAGAUUUACAAUGUGAAAAAAAAACAAGAGACAAACAUUUUGCCUUACACCAGAAGCAAAUGACAAAUUAAUUAAAAUGGAUCAAUCAUGGGCACAAAUUUACAAUAGUAGUGGAUAUACCUACAAGGUGAUCGGAAGUGUCCCUAAAGCCUCCACUACAGCCUCAGAGACGGUUAGUGUGUUGAGAUGCCUCGCUCAAGGACUGAUGUUCAGAACACUUAGCCAGUGACAAUGGGCCACAGUUUGUUGCAGAACACUUUCAGUCACUCCUUUAUCAGUCAUUCCUCAAAAUGAGUGGCAUAAGACAUAAUUACAUCUGCACCAUACCACUGCUCAGCUACAAAUGGCCUGGCAGAAAGGUUUGCUGAAAGUCGAACUGCGAACAAUGUCAGCAAAACACUCUACAUUGACGCUGAAUCAGAACCUCACAAAUUUCCUCCUUGCAUAUCACAAUGCAGCAAAAAGCACAACCAACAAUUCACCAGCUAUUCUGUUCCUGGGUCAUCCCUUGCACUCAUGCUUGGAUCUCCUCAAACCCAAUCUCUGAUGGAGCAUACAGGACAACAACUGCAACAAAUUGAGGGCUCCUCAAACAGGGAGGUUCAAUGUUUCACUCCUGGACAACCAGUCCUGUCCUGAAUCAAUCAAAAAAUUAAGGGCAGAACUGGACCACUCUUACACAGUAGAGAUUGCAUCUCAUGUCAUCUGGAGAUGACGCAUUGAUCAUCUGAGGACAGCAGAGUCGAUUAUUGGAGAAGAAAGAUGAC